GAUGAACGCUAGCGGGAGGCCUAACACAUGCAAGCCGAGCGGUAGAAAGUAGCUUGCUACUUUUGAGAGCGGCGUACGGGUGCGUAACACGUGUGCAACCUGCCUUUAUCUGGAGAAUAGCCUUUCGAAAGGAAGAUUAAUGCUCCAUAACAUAUUGAAUGGCAUCAUUUAAUAUUGAAAGCUCCGGCGGAUAGAGAUGGGCACGCGCAAGAUUAGUUAGUUGGUGAGGUAACGGCUCACCAAGGCGAUGAUCUUUAGGGGGCCUGAGAGGGUGAUCCCCCACACUGGUACUGAGACACGGACCAGACUCCUACGGGAGGCAGCAGUGAGGAAUAUUGGACAAUGGGUGAAAGCCUGAUCCAGCCAUCCCGCGUGAAGGAUGACGGCCCUAUGGGUUGUAAACUUCUUUUGUAUAGGGAUAAACCUACCCUCGUGGGGGUAGCUGAAGGUACUAUACGAAUAAGCACCGGCUAACUCCGUGCCAGCAGCCGCCGUAA
rnacentral:rRNA from 1 species